AGAUGUAGUGGCAUUAUUCUUUCCAUAGCAGGUGACAUGAUCUGUGGACCCAAUCUUUUUUGGAAGUGCUUAUAGAGGUGUGUGCAUAGAUGUACGUAAGUGUCUGCAUCUGUUUCCCACAAAAAAGAAAACAAAGCAAAAAGGUUUUACCUUAUGUAAAAAAGUUCCAUUUCUGUUCUUCUUUUUUUCAUAAUUGCGACCUUCAUCUGAAUAUUUGGAAUCGUCGGAAUUACAAGUAGUUAAAUCAAGUUCACAUAUAAUUUAUUUUUUUGUUGAAUCAAUGAUUUGAUGUGUAGAGAAGGACAUCACUAAGUGAUGAACAGAUGAAGCAUUGAAAACAAUAAAAAUGGGCCAGUCUUAUAAUAUAUGUGGAUGACAAAUGUUUCUAUAUAUACACUAAUAAUUAAUGCCGCCACCACUGAAACCUGUGGAGGAUUAGGUCCAGGCGUCCAGCAGAUC
rnacentral:lncRNA from 1 species